rnacentral:rRNA from 1 species
UACGUAGGGGGCAAGCGUUAUCCGGAUUUACUGGGUGUAAAGGGAGCGUAGACGGCGAUGCAAGUCUGAAGUGAAAGGCGGGGGCCCAACCCCCGGACUGCUUUGGAAACUGUAUAGCUGGAGUGCAGGAGAGGUAAGUGGAAUUCCUAGUGUAGCGGUGAAAUGCGUAGAGAUUAGGAAGAACACCAGUGGCGAAGGCGACUUACUGGACUGUAACUGACGCUGAGGCAUGAGAGCAUGGGGAGCAAACAGG